rnacentral:rRNA from 1 species
AUUGAACGCUGGCGGCAUGCCUUACACAUGCAAGUCGAACGGCAGCACGGGGCAACCUGGUGGCGAGUGGCGAACGGGUGAGUAAUGCAUCGGAACGUACCUUUCAGUGGGGGAUAACGUAGCGAAAGUUACGCUAGUACCGCAUAUUCUGUGAGCAGGAAAGCAGGGGAUCGCAAGACCUUGCGCUGAUUGAGCGGCCGAUGUCAGAUUAGCUAGUUGGUGAGGUAAAGGCUCACCAAGGCGACGAUCUGUAGCGGGUCUGAGAGGAUGAUCCGCCACACUGGAACUGAGACACGGUCCAGACUCCUACGGGAGGCAGCAGUGGGGAAUUUUGGACAAUGGGGGCAAACCUGAUCCAGCCAUGCCGCGUGAGUGAAGAAGGCCUUCGGGUUGUAAAGCUCUUUCGGCCGGGAAGAAAUCGCACGGGCUAAUACCCUGUGUGGAUGACGGUACCGGAAUAAGAAGCACCGGCUAACUACGUGCCAGCCGCCGCCGUAAAAC